rnacentral:rRNA from 1 species
AUUGAACGCUGGCGGCAGGCUUAACACAUGCAAGUCGAGCGAGCGGCGGACGGGUGAGUAAUGACUGGGAAACUGCCUGAUGGAGGGGGAUAACUACUGGAAACGGUAGCUAAUACCGCAUACCAUCGGAUGUGCCCAGAUGGGAUUAGCUAGUUGGUGAGGUAAUGGCGCACCAAGGCGACGAUCCCUAGCUGGUCUGAGAGGAGGAACAGCCACACUGGGACUGAGACACGGCCCAGACUCCUACGGGAGGCAUCAGUGGGGAAUAUUGCACAAUGGGCGCAAGCCUGAUGCAGCCAUGCCGCGUGUAUGAAGAAGGCCCUAGGGUUGUAAAGUACUUUCAGUCGGGAGGCGUUACCGACAGAAGAAGCACCGGCUAACUCCGUGCCAGCAGCCGCGGUAAUAC